UACGAAGGGGGCUAGCGUUGCUCGGAAUUACUGGGCGUAAAGGGCGCGUAGGCGGACAGUUUAGUCAGAGGUGAAAGCCCAGGGCUCAACCUUGGAAUUGCCUUUGAUACUGGCUGUCUUGAGUUCGGGAGAGGUGAGUGGAAUGCCGAGUGUAGAGGUGAAAUUCGUAGAUAUUCGGCGGAACACCAGUGGCGAAGGCGACUCACUGGCCCGAUACUGACGCUGAGACGCGAAAGCCAGGGGAGCGAACGGG
rnacentral:rRNA from 1 species